UCGAACGGUAACAGGAAGCAGCUUGCUGCUUCGCUGACGAGUGGCGGACGGGUGAGUAAUGUCUGGGAAACUGCCUGAUGGAGGGGGAUAACUACUGGAAACGGUAGCUAAUACCGCAUAACGUCGCAAGACCAAAGAGGGGGACCUUCGGGCCUCUUGCCAUCGGAUGUGCCCAGAUGGGAUUAGCUAGUAUGUGGGGUAACGGCUCACCUAGGCGACGAUCCCUAGCUGGUCUGAGAGGAUGACCAGCCACGCUGGAACUGAGACACGGUCCAGACUCCUACGGGAGGCAGCAGUGGGGAAUAUUGCACAAUGGGCGCAAGCCUGAUGCAGCCAUGCCGCGUGUAUGAAGAAGGCCUUCGGGUUGUAAAGUACUUUCAGCGGGGAGGAAGGCGACAGGGUUAAUAACCCUGUCGAUUGACGUUACCCGCAGAAGAAGCACCGGCUAACUCCGUGCCAGCAGCCGCGGUAAUACGGAGGGUGCAAGCGUUAAUCGGAAUUACUGGGCGUAAAGCGCACGCAGGCGGUCUGUCAAGUCGGAUGUGAAAUCCCCGGGCUCAACCUGGGAACUGCAUUCGAAACUGGCAGGCUAGAGUCUUGUAGAGGGGGGUAGAAUUCCAGGUGUAGCGGUGAAAUGCGUAGAGAUCUGGAGGAAUACCGGUGGCGAAGGCGGCCCCCUGGACAAAGACUGACGCUCAGGUGCGAAA
rnacentral:rRNA from 1 species